rnacentral:misc_RNA from 1 species
AGGCGAUCCCAUAGCAUGGACUCAAGGUCGUUUGAUUCUGAUGACCACAGGUGUGACCGAAGGAGCCAAUCUUUGGGAAGGUCAUCGGAUGACAAUGAAGGAGGCAAAAAAUCAAGCCACAGGAGACCUGGUCAUCAUCACCAUAGUCAUCACAAGAACCGGCAUCAUGAUUCCAAUGAGGAGGAGAAAAAUCAUUCACGCUCAGAUGAGGAGGAAAGGCAUCCAGCCCAGAGUCCGCAAGAAGACGAUAAAAAUCAUGCUGAGUGAUGAUUGAGAUAACUAACAUUCAUUCUCAUGAUGGGCAAAAUGACUAGGGUUGAAAACCUAUUACUUUAUUUCUAGUUGCAUUCGUUCUUUCUGAUUGGAUUAUCAGACGGAUGGAAAUUGGAAUUGCUUGUGAUUUGUGCUAAAUUUGUGAGAGGCUUGGACCUACCUUUUAUGUUGUUAAGAUUGAUGUCGGAUUUCAUCUUAAAUCGACUUUGAAUUACCUUUUUUAGGAAAUACAAGUUUGCCAUUUAACUAAUUAAGAAAACUAAGAAAAGUUUGUAAUAUUUGUUUCAAAAAAAAAAAAGAAGUAAAGUUUAUAUUGUACAGUAAU